GUCUGAAAAUGCACUGGGAACUGCCAUGGCUGGCAGAUGCAUGGUGCAUGGAUGUGCCAAAAUGAUUCUGUGAGGGACGAGCUGGAGAGGUUCAGGAAUCAGCCACUUAGGGCCAUUAACAUUUCAGCAGCGGUUUCCACCUAGGGCUAAAUUCAGACCUGGUGCAAUUCCAGGCUCUUAGUGUAGACACAUCUUCUCUGUGUCUUUCUCAUUCUCUUUAUCUCUCUGCUGCUCUCCCCCUGCCUUUCUCUCUUCUUCUGUUACUCACUCAUUCUUUCUCUCUCUCACACAUAGCUAAUUGAUAGUUUCCCACAAUGCACAGCAACCACCUAGCCUGCAUUUCGCAAUGCUUUCACUAUUAAGUCUAUCCUGCCUCCCUGGACAGCUUUAUCAGCACUAGCCACCUAUUAAUCACCAGUCCUCCAGGAAACAAGGCCAAAGCAAAUGUGGUUGAAAAAGAUCAGGUGGGCUGGCCUGACUGGUUGUGACAGGCACUUGUCAACUGGAGGAGACAGUUCAGAUAAGGGACAGGAAGGUCCCAGCCCAGCAGGGUGGGUCAGCACCAUUUCACCAGGCACCUGAUAUGGCUGAGCUGAUGAUCUUGUUGCUUUAAUCUUCCUCAGAGGCCUCUUCUUGCUCCCUUUUCCAGUUCCCUGCCAUGGCACUGCCUGAGCAAGCCAUCUCCUCGGGCAGCAGGGAGGUGGGGCCUGAAUCGGCUGUCCCAGUGUUCACUCAAGCUACACUCAAGAUGGAUCGAAUGCCUGGAAACUCAGAUGAAGGCAAUGUAAAUGGGGCGUGGCUACUAUUUCAGACAACUGUCUAUGGCUGCACUGAAUCCUGCCUGUCUCUGCCCAGCUCCAUUGAAUUUCCCUGUACAAAGCCCAUUUGCUUGGAGUCUGUGUGCAAGUGUGUGUGUGUAUGUGGGGGUGUUAGGGUAAUUGCCUAGGUUUGGGAAGACACAGUUUAUAGACCCCCUGUGUGACCUUGGGCAAGUCAUUCAGUCUCUGUGCCUCAGUUCCCCAUCUGUACUAUGCAGACAAUUGCCCUGCUCUGCUUGUAGGAGUAAGGAUCAUAAUUAUACUAGAGACUGGAAGGUGCUCAGAUACUCCAGUGAUGGGGGCCAGGUCAGUACCAGAGGUAGCGAGGCGGUGAAUUUCAACCAGGAUGACUUGGUAAAGUCUUAACCCCAAAGGCCAGUCCAGGUAGUGUCCUCAGACUCCACUAGCAUCUCUCUGUCUGAGAGCUAUCACAUUUCUAUAGCUGCAGUGAUAGCAUCAAUAACAGAGCAAGUGCCAUGAAUAGGUGGAAGUGACCUGCAUUCACGAAGCAAAGUAGCUAACGGAGUCUGUACCAUUAAGAAGAGUGCAUGCAGGUGCCUUUCCCGACCUGCUCUAUAAACACAGCCCACGCACCGCGUCAAGUACAAACUCACCCCCUGCCUGGGCUUUGGCUUUAUUCAUGAGGGAAGUAACAGUAAUAGAAUAUCAAGAUCACCUCAGACCUUCUCCCCAGGCCUGUCUGCUCCCAGGGCUCCUCCAUUUGGAUGGCUCAGCCCGCACCCUAGAUCCUGUUCUCUCCUCAGAGAGCCACAUCCACCUCCCUUGUAUCUAAGGAGGUAACUACCUGCAAUGGUGAGUCAGUAGAACCUGCUUAGCCCUUUCCCAAUAGGCAUGUUACCUAGGGAGGGUAUUGCAGGCAAUCACUGCCCAGCCUCUUACAGACAGGGCAGAGAAAGUGAAUGGGUAGCACCGUGUGCGGCCGGUGACUGGAGAACGUAAAGGCCUAGCAGCACUGCCAUUGGCCAGCGAGGAAGCAGAGCUCUGUCCAGCGCAGUGGCACAGAGAGCUCUCCUCGCUCCAUGCACCUGCUGUGUGUGCACGGAGAGACCUUGAUGACUCCCCUACCAGCUCCUGCUUCACACAAAUAUCCCAGAUCAAAUGCUGCAGCAGUAUUGAUGUGAAAGGAGAGUGAUAAUGGCUCCCCUUGGUUACACUUGCCACAGAGGACAGCUGCUAAUACUACCUGCACUUGCAGCCUGUGUAUGUUAAGCAUGAGUCAGCAGCACCGAGCUGGGAUAUAUGAUACAGGCCCAGUGAGAGCCCAUGGAUACUAAGCAGCAGGUAGUAAUGCACCCUGGAGUCUCUGAUACAGGCCGCAGCCUGAAGACGGAGCCUAAUGUGUCACUGGAGAAGCCAGUUCAGAUUACAGCCAGAGCCUGCGCCCGCAUUCAGCUGACAUGUCUAGGCCAUAGAGUCUCUAGACAACAAUUGUCAGGGAAUGGGGUUUUCUGACACUGGAAACGGAGAUCGAAUACCAAAGCCAGCCUAGGGAGACCAGCCAGCCAAAGACAGCCUGACCUGGGAUGAUCAUACCUGCUAUAGUUGCCUAGGGUGUUUUCUAGGGCGAGUCGCAGAGCAGGUCGACUGGAGGAAUGUGCGAGCCACACGCCCCCCGCCAAUCCUGGCCCCUCAUCCCAGCCAAGGGGAAGAACAGGAGGCAGAGGAGAUAAAUGAAGAGAACGCAGAGUCGGCUCUGAGUGAGACUGUUGGUGGCGUCUGCAGUCCAGUCUAUGAAUCUGAAGUUCUAUGCCUAGCUCUGCCACAGACGUCUUGGGUAACACUGGGUCAAGUCACUUCCCUUCUUUCUGCCUCAGUUUCUCUUAUCUGUGAAAUAGGGACAAUACUUUCCCAUCUCUCGUGGAGGUUGUGAGGCUAAGCUUAUUAACACUAGUAAAGUGCUUUGAGACCCUCACAUAGGUAGU